AUACGGAGGGAGCAAGCGUUGUUCGGAUUUACUGGGCGUAAAGCGUACGUAGGUGGCGCAGCAAGUCGGGAGUGAAAUCCCACGGCUCAACCGUGGAAGUGCUUUCGAAACUGCUGUGCUAGAGGAUGAGAGGGGAAGGCGGAAUUCCAGGUGUAGCGGUGAAAUGCACAGAUAUCUGGAGGAACACCGGUGGCGAAGGCGGCCUUCUGGAUCAUACCUGACACUGAGGUACGAAAGCGUGGGGAGCGAACAGGAUUAGAAACCCCAGUAGUCC
rnacentral:rRNA from 1 species